AGGGACAUAGCUCAGGGGUAGAGCAUGUGCCUAGCAUGCACGAGGUCCUGGGUUCAAUCCCCAGUACCUCCA
rnacentral:tRNA from 1 species